UACGGAGGGGGCUAGCGUUGUUCGGAAUUACUGGGCGUAAAGCGCACGUAGGCGGCUUUGUAAGUUAGAGGUGAAAGCCCAGGGCUUAACCCUGGAAUUGCCUUUAAGACUGCAUCGCUUGAAUCGUGGAGAGGUGAGUGGAAUUCCGAGUGUAGAGGUGAAAUGCGUAGAUAUCAGGAGGAACACCUGUGGCGAAAGCGGCUCACUGGACCAUAACUGACGCUGGAUGCACGAAAGCUAGGGGAGCAAACAGG
rnacentral:rRNA from 1 species